UUCCCACGAAUUUUCUUGAGGUCCUUCUACUUCUAACGACACAGCUCCCUCUCCGGCUGCCCAGAUCCGGUGAUUCCCUGGUGGACGACGACUACUCCACGACCGCUCCCUGCCUCCUCCCCCUCCCACUCCGGCAUCCAGGUUGGGUGACUCCAUCUCCCGGUCACCCCAUCGCCGCGCUGCACAUCGUCGUCAGGGACCAAGGCGCCGCCGCCACGGCGUCCUCCUCCCCGGUGGCCGCGGGUGCCCCGCCCACCAAGCUACCCCUUCUUAUCUUUCCGGAGGCGAUCUGGUAGUGCUCGAGCUCGCGGUGAUGCGGCCACGAUAUCCUCCUCCCCGGUGCUCCUAGAUCUAGCAAUAGCUCACCGGAGGCAAGCCGGGGUGCUCGAUCUGCUCGCCUCCUUCGCCUCGCAGGCUCAGCAAGCAGAAUCAAGCACAUGAAGAUUCAUGAGCAAGAAGCACUAUCAAUGGAUGCAAGCUUUGGUAGCGAUGCUUAUUCAGCGGGGAUCACUUCAGUCCUUCAUACUCGGGGUUCGAUGUUCAUGUCGUAGAAAAUGAUAUGUCAUGUUAUGUACCAAGUGAUAUAUGUAUGUGUCUUGUGUACUCAAAUUAGGAUGGAUGGCGUGGAACCGAAAAAGUUUCUGCCUAGGAUGAUCCUCUUGGACAUGUAUUCAAAAAUUCGUGCUGGACAUACACUGCCAUAUUUGUGUCUGGGUCCAUAUUUGAAUUUACUAGGAACAGAAUGGUUGUGACGAUUUGAAGUAGAAAAUGAUCAUGCCAUGAUAUGUACCAAGUUUAUGUAUUUAUGUGUAUUGUGUACUCCAAUUAGGAUGAA